CUUCUUGUAAUAAUUGGAAGUCAGAUCUGUCCACUGAGAAUUUAAUUUAAAGGACCGCGGUAUAUUGACCGUGCAAAGGUAGCAUAAUCAUUAGUUUUUUAAUUGAGAACUGGAAUGAAUGAUUUAACGAAAUAAUUAGUGUCUCUAAUAUAAUUAAUUGAAUUUUACUUUUAAGUUAAAAGGCUUAAAUGUUAAUAAGGGACGAUAAGACCCUAUAGAUCUUUAUAAUAAUUUUAUUAUUAUUGUUAUUUAGUUAUAAUAUAAUAUAUAUUAAUGUUAUUAUUUUGUUGGGGUGAUGUGAGAAUAAAUUAACUUCUUGAUUUUUAACUUUGAUGAUUGAAUUUUAGAUCCUAUAUUUAUGGAAAAAAGAUUAAGAUACCUUAGGGAUAACAGCGUAAUUUUAUUGAAAAGUUCUUAUUGAUAAUAGGGAUUGCGACCUCGAUGUUGGAUUAAGAAUAUAUGUUGGUGUAGGUGCUAAUAUUAAUUGGUCUGUUC
rnacentral:rRNA from 1 species